AGCAGCCGCGGUAAUUCCAGCUCCAAUAGCGUAUAUUAAAGUUGUUGCAGUUAAAAAGCUCGUAGUUGAAUUUCGGGAUCAGUUGAUCGGUCGUGCCUCGGUACGUACUGGUCAAAUUGAUUCCUACCUUCUGACGAACCACGAUGUCAUUAAUUUGGUGUCGCGGGAAAUCAGGACUGUUACUUUGAAAAAAUUAGAGUGUUUAAAGCAGGCUCGCGCUUGAAUACAUUAGCAUGGAAUAAUGAAAUAGGACGUUUGAUUCUAUUUUGUUGGUUUCUAGGAUCGACGUAAUGAUUAAUAGGGAUAGUUGGGGGCAUUAGUAUUCAAUUGUCAGAGGUGAAAUUCUUGGAUUUAUUGAAGACUAACUACUGCGAAAGCAUUCGCCAAGGAUGUUUUCAUUAAUCAAGAACGAAAGUUAGGGAUCGAAGACGAUCAGAUACCGUCGUAGUCUUAACCAUAAACUAUAGCCGACUAGGGAUCGGGAUGAUGUUAAUUUUUAAUGUACUCAUUCGGCGCCUUA
rnacentral:misc_RNA from 1 species